UGCACGCACGGGUUUUGUUUUGCCAGCAGCAGCACAACCACAACCACAACCACCUCCGCCACCAAACUUGCCCAUGCUUACGGCGUGUUUGGCCCCUCCGAAACUCUACCUAAGCUCCAAUGAAAAAUAAGCGAUUGCGCCUUGGCUAGUGACUGAUUGGCUAACCUCGUGUGCAACAUGUCUGGCCUCGAGAAUCUUUUAGCGGCUUCGAUUUCGCUGUUCGGAUUUGGCCAAUUGAGGGCUCGGUUCAGUCAAAACAGUCCGCUAAACUAUGCUCGCUACCAGUACAGACAAAUGGACUCGAAUAGGCUGAUGGAAGUCACACGGUGUUGCUGCUUUGUCUGAAAGAUCUUGAGAAGGAUUCAAUAGUAACAUGACAGUGUUUCGAGGCGCGGUGAUGCCUAAGGUCUCUAUCAGGAGAGAAUCGCAUGAUGGUUGUUCGACAGACCUCUGUCUCAGGCAAAUCAAAAAAACCAAAGGAACAUGAAGGGAGGGGUUACAGAUAAACGUGGUUUUAUGGAGACCGCUACUCCAACCGUAUCGCGAACCCUACACCCCAUAGAGCCCCUCACUACAUGGAACGCGGGUGUUAUUUUCAAUAGGGGCCCCUGAAAGAAUACGAACUGGAGUAGGUAAUGAAGUGCUAUUGACCCUAUAUAUAUCACAUCCAAGGGUUUUUCUGGGAGCAGAGAGUUGCACUGUACAAACAUACAUGAGCUAUACGCAUUACUGUGUCGAACUUCCAGCGCGGGACAUGGGUAUCCACUAUAUUACUAACACCCGUGUGCCCCUGACAGAUAAAAAUACACAUCCCUCAAGUCAAGGAUGGGUUGAGAGUGACUAGUCAGCGCGGUUUUGCGCAUUUUCAAUGAAGGACUGUGUGGUCUUGAUGGUUCCGCGGGUUCUCUGGUCGAGAUCCCAAACCAUGUUCAACUGUAACCCCACAUGGAUUAAAACGGUUGCGGACGAGAACCAACAUUGACAGAAUGAUAGGACUAAUGGUGCAUGGGAGAUAAACAUGGUAGGCUUAGGGUUAGCCAGGUGUAACAAAAAUGAGGAAAGGUUCCUGAGUG
rnacentral:sRNA from 1 species